rnacentral:rRNA from 1 species
GACGAACGCUGGCGGCGUGCCUAACACAUGCAAGUCGAGCGGAGAUGAUGUGAGGAAGUUUUCGGAUGGAAUCACAUUAUUUUAGCGGCGGACGGGUGAGUAACGCGUGAGCGACCAACCUUGCACAGGGGGAUAACGGACCGAAAGGUUCACUAAUACCGCAUGAGACCACGGUGUUGCAUGACACAGGGGUCAAAGGAGGAAUCCGGUGCAAGACGGGCUCGCGUCCGAUUAGGUAGUUGGAGGGGUAACGGCCCACCAAGCCUAUGAUCGGUAGCCGACCUGAGAGGGUGAUCGGCCACAUUGGAACUGAGAUACGGUCCAAACUCCUACGGGAGGCAGCAGUGGGGAAUAUUGGGCAAUGGGGGAAACCCUGACCCAGCAACGCCGCGUGAAGGAAGAAGGUUUUCGGAUUGUAAACUUCUGUCCUUGGUGAAGAGAAGAAGACGGUAGCCAAGGAGGAAGCCCCGGCUAACUACGUGCCAGCAGCCGCGGUAAU